AAGAGGCAAGAUAAGGCAUUUGCAAUUGGCAGUGUUUCAAAGGACUCCAGAUUUCUCCAAAGAACCUAGAUUUCCCAGGUACUGAACAUGUGCAAAAUAGAAACAAACAUUCAAGAUGAGUGAGUGAUGAGUUCUGCCUGUGGUCAGAAGAAAACAACACUCCCAACUCUGCAACCUGAUCACAUCCCUACUUAGUCCUGUUUGUGGAGCCGCCUUAUUAACGACAUUAGAACAAAGAUAUGAAGGAAAGUCAGGAUAUGAUUGCUAAAGGAAGAGAAAAAAAAA
rnacentral:lncRNA from 1 species